CAGGGAUUUCAAAAUUAAAUUCGAACAAUAUCGUGUAAUAUUGUAUACACGUUAUUCAAAAUGUAUUACGUAUUCAUGGUAUUUUAGAGAUAGAAAAUAGAGCGAGUUCCGCAAUUCGUAACAAAUUCAUCAUAAACAAUUUACGUACACCUGUUAUCUUUCUUUUAUAUUGCUGUAUGCAAUUAUAGAGUACGGACGAGAGAGAAAGAAUAGA